GGAAAUGUGCCCGAGAUAAUUAAGGGAUACUUUGAUAGAGUAUACUACAGAGACUAAAACCUCUCAUUUCCU
rnacentral:tRNA from 1 species